rnacentral:rRNA from 1 species
CCUACGGGGGGCAGCAGUGGGGGAUAUUGCACAAUGGAGGAAACUCUGAUGCAGCAACGCCGCGAGAGGGAAGAAGGUCUUCGGAUUGUAAACAUCUGUCCUCAGGGACGAUACUGACGGUACCUGAGGAGGAAGCUCCGGCUAACUACGUGCCGGCAGCCGCGGUAAUAGGUAGGGAGCAAGCGUUGUCUGGAUUUCCUGGGUGUACAGGGUGCGUAGGCGGCCAUGCAAGUAAGGUGUGAAAACUAUAGGCUUAACUCAUUGAUUGCACUUGAAACUGUGGGGCUUGAGUGAAGUAGAGGCAGGCGGAAUUCCCGGUGUAGCGGUGAAGUGCGUAGAGAUCGGGAAGAACAGCAGUGGCGAAGGCGGCCUGCUGGGCUUUAGCUGACGCUGAGGCACGAAAGCGUGGGUAGCAAACAUGAUUAGAUACCCCGGUAGUC